UACGUAGGGUGCAAGCGUUGUUCGGAAUCAUUGGGCGUAAAGCGCGUGUAGGCGGUCAAAUAAGUCGGGUGUGAAAUCCCUAGGCUCAACCAAGGAAGUGCAUCCGAAACUAUUUGGCUGGAAGAUGGUAGAGGAAGGUGGAAUUCCUAGUGUAGAGGUGAAAUUCGUAGAUAUUAGGAGGAAUACCGGCGGCGAAGGCGGCCUUCUGGACCAUUCUUGACGCUGAGACGCGAAAGCGUGGGGAGCAAACAGG
rnacentral:rRNA from 1 species